rnacentral:rRNA from 1 species
UACGUAGGGUGCAAGCGUUAAUCGGAAUUACUGGGCGUAAAGCGUGCGCAGGCGGCUUUGCAAGACAGAUGUGAAAUCCCCGGGCUUAACCUGGGAACUGCAUUUGUGACUGCAUGGCUGGAGUGCGGCAGAGGGGGAUGGAAUUCCGCGUGUAGCAGUGAAAUGCGUAGAUAUGCGGAGGAAUACCAGUGGCGAAGGCGGCACGCUGGGCCAUAACUGACGCUAAGACUCGAAAGCAUGGGUAGCGAACGGG